rnacentral:siRNA from 1 species
AAAUGGCUGCAAAAUGUAUAUG